rnacentral:rRNA from 1 species
AGCGAACGCUGGCGGCAGGCCUAACACAUGCAAGUCGAACGAACUCUUCGGAGUUAGUGGCGGACGGGUGAGUAACACGUGGGAACGUGCCUUUUGGUUCGGAAUAACUCAGGGAAACUUGUGCUAAUACCGAAUGUGCCCUUCGGGGGAAAGAUUUAUCGCCAUUAGAGCGGCCCGCGUCUGAUUAGCUAGUUGGUGAGGGAACGGCUCACCAAGGCGACGAUCAGUAGCUGGUCUGAGAGGAUGACCAGCCACACUGGGACUGAGACACGGCCCAGACUCCUACGGGAGGCAGCAGUGGGGAAUCUUGCGCAAUGGGCGAAAGCCUGACGCAGCCAUGGCGCGUGAAUGAUGAAGGUCUUAGGAUUGUAAAAUUCUUUCACCGGGGACGAUAAUGACGGUACCCGGAGAAGAAGCCCCGGCUAACUUCGUG